rnacentral:rRNA from 1 species
GAUGAACGCUCGCGGGAGGCCUAACACAUGCAAGCCGAGCGGUAUUGUUUCUUCGGAAAUGAGAGAGCGGCGUACGGGUGCGUAACACGUGUGCAACCUGCCUUUAUCUGGGGGAUAGCCUUUCGAAAGGAAGAUUAAUACUCCAUAAUAUAUUGAACGGCAUCGUUUAAUAUUGAAAGCUCCGGCGGAUAGAGAUGGGCACGCGCAAGAUUAGCUAGUUGGUGAGGUAACGGCUCACCAAGGCGAUGAUCUUUAGGGGGCCUGAGAGGGUGAUCCCCCACACUGGUACUGAGACACGGACCAGACUCCUACGGGAGGCAGCAGUGAGGAAUAUUGGUCAAUGGGUGCAAGCCUGAACCAGCCAUCCCGCGUGAAGGACGACUGCCCUAUGGGUUGUAAACUUCUUUUGUAUAGGGAUAAACCUACCCUCGUGAGGGUAGCUGAAGGUACUAUACGAAUAAGCACCGGCUAACUCCGUG